CAAUUAUUUGAAAAUCUUAAUAAAAACUCCCUCCACCAUGCUUUCUGUUCUCGUCAAGCACCCCCGAGUUCUCAAAGAAAAGGGACCAUUUGUGAAAUAAGUCAUUCUAUGGACCUGUCUAGCAAGGUAGAUGCAUUGUCCCAUAAGAUUGACCAACUGAUGAUAGGUGGGCAUUUCAUUAACUCUUCCCAAGCACAAGUGUGUACUAUCUGUUCUAGCCCAUCCUACCCUAUUCAUGAGUGCCCCUCAGCGCCCCAAUUCCUCAAACUCGUGCAAGAACACAUCAAUGCUGCUCAAACACAGCCCAGACCGGGUAAUGACCCAUUUUUCAAUACAUAUAACCCGGAAUGGCGGAAUCAUCCAAACUUUUCUUGGAAGCAGCAAGCUUCGAAUACUGCCCAACCCUACUCCUAAAAUUUUCAAACCCCACAAAAUAUUCAUCUCUACCGUCCCUCGACUCAAUUUCAACACACUCCUCCUCCACCCCAAAGAAACACAGCUUUUGAGGAGAAAGUGUUGAACGCCCUUCAAGAUUUGGAAACCAUUACACAAUUGGUGCACUCUCACAUGCAAUCAAUCGCCAAGCCAGAAUUCCAAAUGGGGCAACUAGCUAAUGCACUGAACAAGCGAGAGGAAGAAAAGCUUCCAAGCCAAUCACUAAGUAAUCCUAGGGGAGAAUACAUAGCUCAAGAAAAUCAACUAAAUACAAUUCAUCAUGAACAAGCCAAUGCUUUGACUACCCUAAGGAGUGGACGUGUAGUAGACAAUAAGAUUGGGGAGGAUAAUAAUAAGGAAGGUGAAGAAGAGGAUAAAAAUGUGUCAAAUGAAAAUCUAAAAACUUCUUCUUCUUCUUCAGCUAGUCCACCUUCUGCCAAAACUCACAUCCCAAAGGCCCCAUUUUCUGAAGCUCUUAAUUCACCCUCUCCCUUUGGCAAAAAAGGAACUUCACUAGAGAAGAUGAUGGAGGUUUUCAAACAAGUUAAAAUCAACCUUCCGCUUCUUGAUGCUAUUAGACAAGUUCCCUCCUAUGCCAAAUUUCUCAAAGACCUUUGUACCCAAAAGCGAAAAUCUAGGACACAUGUGCCUAGAAAGGUCUUCAUAACUGAGCAAGUGAGUUCUAUUCUCCAACACAACACUCCUCCGAAAUUCAAAGAUCCUGGUGCUCCCACCAUCUCCUGUGUCUUAGGAAAUAAUUUCAUUGAUCGAGCACUCUUAGAUCUAGGGGCAAGUGUCAACCUUUUACCUUAUUCAGUUUAUGAGAAACUUGGGUUAGGUGAGUUAAAACCAACCUCGGUAUCCCUUCAAUUGGCUGAUCGAUCUGUAAAAACUCCACGUGGGAUAAUUGAAGAUGUUCUUGUCAAGGUAGACAAAUUCUAUUUUUCAGUAGAUUUCAUCGUCCUUGAUAUGGAACAUGAACCUAAUCCUAAGAAACAAAUCUCCGUGAUCCUUGGGCGCCCCUUUUUAGCAACAGCCAAUGCGUGCAUCAAUUGUAGAACGGGGGUAAUGAACAUAUCAUUUGGAAACAUGAAGGUAAAAUUAAAUGUGUUCAAUGCGGCCGACCAACCCGCGAGGGAAGUUGAGUGUUUUAUAAUAGACAAAAUAGAUGACCUCAUGAAGGAGAUGCAAAAACUACCUCACUGUGUCUGGCUGAAGAUAAUAAACUUAGCCCUUGUUGGGAGGCAACCCAAUUCUCUUAGAUUUUUUUUAACAUUGAGGACAAUGUUAGGUUUAGGUUUGGGGGUUAUGUUUAAGUAUUUUUAAGCAUUUUUGGUUUUGUUUGCAUCUCUUGCAUUCGUUUUCACUUCACAAUGUCAGGUUUAGGUUUAGGGGUAUUCAUCUUGAUUUUCAUUCAAAAAAAAAAAUUUGUGUUCAUAAAAUAAUAAUAAUAAUAAAUUUAAAAAUAAAAAAAAAGUUUUUAUUUUUAAAACCUAAUUUCUAUACAUUUAUGCGAGAAUGAUAAAUACACAAGGUAUAUAAAAUCUAAAAAGCCCAAUGACUAGUCGGAAGUAAUACAAAUUUAAGUUUUUUUAUUAAGUCUCUCUUAGGGAGUUGUAAGCUAAUUAAUACUUUGGAAUUUUACUACACACUGGCCGACCCUUCUAAGGUCUAGGCUCGACAAUAUGUUGAUAGUAUAGUAGCAACCUUGGACCCUGAUGAAUCAUACUUAUCUAAUUAAAAAAAAAAUCAUCAAUAAAAAUGAAUUUAGUCAGGAACAUCGAAAAGGGCUACCUAUUGUCAAAGGUCAAGUGGGCUUGUGAUGAGGACUCCGAGCAUAAGUCCGUAGGGGAGUCUUGAUGCCCGACACCUUAUGCCAACUGGUGUGAGAGUUGUCGACUGACUGCUCGUUACACGGAGAAAUCACCACAAGAGUAAAAGUGCAUAAUUUAUAUAUCUUUAAAAAAAAACUCUGUAUUGACCUUGAAAAAGACAAUAGUGUGAAAGCCGUUGUUGUAAAAAUUUGAGUAAACUGGAAUAUUACAGAUAAAGCCCGUGAGGUACUAAAGUAAACAUCCACAACUCUCAAAAAUCUGCGGAUAAGAUGAUUUUGAAUCAGUGAGCAGGUCCUUUCGACCAAUCCUUGGAAACUACUAGUAUUAGUAAUAUUUUGGAGAUCCGAACCCUUAGCUUGUGUACGGUCCAGAUUUCACCGAGCACCCCAGUAUAAAUGAGUCUUACAACUCUCUAAAUGAAAACUUAAUAACUUUAACUUAGAUUGCAUACUAACCUAGAAUUUGGGCUGACUUAGUAAAUAAAACCGUGUGUGCUUUAAAAUUCUUAUUAUUUAUGUAUCUUAAAUUAGAUUUUAAUAAUAAAAAAAGAGAGAGAGUUUUUGAAAUUCUUAGCUAGUAUGCAUUUGGAAUUUGAUUUUCACUUUAUAGAUCAAUCGAUUUACAAAAAAAAAAAUAAUCAUAACAAUAAAUGAUAUUGAAGUUUGUGGGUAUCUUCACUGGAAACCCUCACGAGACUAUAACUCGUCCACUAGGGUAACCUAGGGGUUUAAAGCCUUAUUGCAUAUGGUAAAUGCAAUCGCGAUGCCUGCGAAAGUGAGUUAGAGUUUUUUUUCUCUAAUUUUAUUUUGCUCGAGGACUAGCAAAACAUAGGUUUGGGGGUGUGAUAAGUGCUUAAUAAUUUAUAAUUUAGUUAUCUUUCCAUAGCACUUAUCAAUGUUCCUAAACUGAUAAAUACAUAUUUUACCAUGAAAUUAAAUAAACAUUGAAAUAAAUUUAAAAAUGGUAAGAGGUAAAUAAUACUUUUCUUAAAACAGACUCUGAAUUUGUCUCUCUUCUGGUUGUGAUCUUUCAUGAAAACAUAUAAGGAGGAGAUUGUGUUAACCCAGUUUAGUAACCUAAUGGAGUUGUAAUCAAGCUAAGGCUAUGAUUAAAUAGCUUUUGGUCCUGAUUAGAUAAUUAUUCUUGUAUGAAGAAAAAGGUUUGAUUAACCCUUUUUUAUUAAGUCACGGUCCUACUUUUAGUCUUGUCGAGUCCGGUCUGAAGCAGUUUAGCAAGAAUUAAAUUUAAAUGACAUUGGGCUCGAAAAUAAGUUCAAGCAAAGCAACGAUCAUGACCCACCUCAAACCCAA
rnacentral:lncRNA from 1 species